rnacentral:rRNA from 1 species
GAUGAACGCUGGCGGCGUGCCUAAUACAUGCAAGUCGAGCGAACAGACGAGGAGCUUGCUCCUCUGACGUUAGCGGCGGACGGGUGAGUAACACGUGGAUAACCUACCUAUAAGACUGGGAUAACUUCGGGAAACCGGAGCUAAUACCGGAUAAUAUAUUGAACCGCAUGGUUCAAUAGUGAAAGACGGUUUUGCUGUCACUUAUAGAUGGAUCCGCGCCGCAUUAGCUAGUUGGUAAGGUAACGGCUUACCAAGGCAACGAUGCGUAGCCGACCUGAGAGGGUGAUCGGCCACACUGGAAGUGAGACACGGUCCAGACUCCUACGGCAGGCAGCAGUAGGGAAUCUUCCGCAAUGGGCGAAAGCCUGACGGAGCAACGCCGCGUGAGUGAUGAAGGUCUUCGGAGCGUAAAACUCUGUUAUUAGGGAAGAAGAAAUGUGUAAGUAACUAUGCACGUCUUGACGGUACCUAAUCAGAAAGCCACGGCUAACUACGUG